rnacentral:rRNA from 1 species
CACGUAGGGUGCGAGCGUUGUCCGGAAUUAUUGGGCGUAAAGAGCUCGUAGGCGGUGUGUCGCGUCGGCCGUGAAAACCUGCAGCUUAACUGUGGGCUUGCGGUCGAUACGGGCAUCACUGGAGUUCGGCAGGGGAGACUGGAAUUCCUGGUGUAGCGGUGAAAUGCGCAGAUAUCAGGAGGAACACCGGUGGCGAAGGCGGGUCUCUGGGCCGAUACUGACGCUGAGGAACGAAAGCCAGGGGAGCGAACGGG